UGCACCCGCAAGGCGGUGCUCUUGUUUAUUUUGUGUUCCUCAUAAAUAAAGUAAGUUAGCAUUUCUUCUGUGAUCAGCUGGCAUGAAUAACUAAGUAAGCAGCAUUUUAGCAGUGAUAUAGGAAACAUUGUUAGUCACAUCAGUCCUUUGCAAUCUUUCUUUCACACAUAUUUGAAGGACAAGUGCAUGUGUUUGCAGGACGAGUGAAAAUUUUAAUGCACUUGUCCUGCAGGACGAGUGCAAUUUAUAAAUAUUUUUGUCCCCUGUCCCUUGAGAUAUAACCUUCAUAUUUGGUAUGCAUGUGUAUAUCGACAAGGCCUUUCCAUACGUACACAUUUUUUUACCACUGUGACCUACACUGUCCAUCAGUCCGCAUUUGCUUUGUAAACACUCUAGCAUUCACAUUUCUCAAGCAUUCUUUAUCAAAGUUGCUGAAAGAUCUCAGUCAAGUUUGAUGAUUAGCAAAAUCACAUAAUUAAUUCCAUAAUUAUUGCCCUUAGAUUGUCCAAAUUUUCAUAAUAUUAUACAAAAUCCUUAUAAGCAAAGUUUGAUGAUUGAUGUUUGGGGGGUCAACUCAAAAUAUAGGUCACCAUUUCAAAUCUUACAAAAACAAAAACACUCCCUACGCCAGAGCUUUGGUUCAAUAAUGAUGAAACUUGACCAGGAUGUUUGUCUGGUCAAUAUCUAGGUCAUGUUUGACAUUAGGUAAAGAUUGAAUGAACCGACUCCUCUCAGGUGAGCGAACUAGGGCCAUCUUGGCUCUCUUGUUUGACCUUGUGGUUUCUUUUUUAUUAAGAAAAGUAUUGUUCCUUUGGCUGUUUGUAAUAGUUAUUAUGCCCCCCUUCGAAGAAGAGGGGGUAUAUUGCUUUGCUCAUGUCGGUCGGUCCGUCCGUCUGUCCGUCCGUCUGCCAGGUGGGUGUCAGACGAUAACUCAAGAACGCUUGGGCCUAGGAUCAUGAAACUUCAUAGGUACAUUGAUCAUGACUUGCAGAUGUCCCCUAUUGAUUUUGAGGUCACUAGGUCAAAGGUCAAGGUCACAGUGACCCGAAAUAGUAAAAUUGUUUCCGGAUGAUAACUCAAGAACGCAUACGCCUAGGAUCAUGAAACUUCAUGGGUAGAUUGAUCAUGACUCCCAGAUGACCCCUAUUGAUUUUGAGGUCACUAGGUCAACGGUCAAGGUCACGGUGACCCGAAAUAGUAAAAUGAUUUUCGGAUGAUAAUUCAAGAACGCAUAUGCCUAGGAUCAUGAAACUUUAUAGGUACAUUGAUCAUGACUCACAGAUGACCCCUAUUGAUUUUGAGGUCACUAGGUCAAAGGUCAAUGUCACGGUGACCUGAAAUAGUAAAAUGAUUUUCGGAUGAUAACUCAAGAACGCAUAUGCCUAGGAUCAUGAAACUUCAUAGGUAGAUUGAUCAUGACUCGCAGAUGACCCCUUUUGAUUUUUAGGUCACAAGGUCAAAGGUCAAGGUCACGGUGACCCGAAAUAGUAAAAUGAUUUUCGGAUGAUAACUCAAGAACGCUUUUGCCUAGGAUCAUGACACCUCAUAGGUACAUUGAUCGUGACUUGCAGAUGACCCCUUUUGAUUUUCAGGUCACUAGGUCAAAGGUCAAGGUCACAGUGACAAAUGUCGUAUUCACACAAUCGCUGCCAGUACAAUGGACAGCCCAUAUGGGGGGCAUGCAUGUUUUACAAACAGCCCUUGUUGAUAUCUUGGAUUAAUUUGAAAAUGGUUACAUUUGCUUGAAAAACAUGGCUGCUAGGGGCGGGGCAUUUUUCCUUGUAUGGCUAUAGUGAAAUCUUGUUAACACUCUAGAGGCCACAUUUAUAGUCCCAUCUUCAUGAAACUCGGUCAGAAGAUUCAUCCAAAUAAUAUCUUGGACGAGUUAAAAAAUGAUGCCAGUUGGUUGAAAAACAUGGCCACCACUGGGGCGGGGCAUUUUUCCUUAUAUGGCUAUAGUAAAACCUUGUUAACACUCUAGGGGUCACAUUUAUUUUCCGAUCAUCAUGAAACUGGGUCAGAAGAUUUGUCCCAAUGAUAUCUUGGAUCAGUUCGAAAAUGGUUUUGGUUUCUUUUAAAAAAAUGGCCACCAGGGGCGGGGAAUUUUUCCUUAUAUGGCUUUAGUAAAACCUUGUUAACACUCUAGAAGCCACAUUUAUUUUCCGAUAUUCAUGAAACUUGGUCAGAAGAUUUGUCCCAAUAAUAUCUUGUUAUCUCAGGUGAGCGACUUUGGGCCCCUCAGGCCUUCUUGUUGUUGAAACCCAUUGUAACAAAAUGGAAAGAUUGAAUCAUACUUGCAUUUUUGCUAUGUUUAUCUUUAGGAUAUAAAUAUAUGAAUCCAAUACAGUUCUUAACCACUGGUGGUACAUUUCAAGCUGAAUAUUAUUUGAAAAAGUAUAUAAAGUAAAGCAUUGUUUGUUGUUUGACUGCAUUUUACAUAAUGUUUUCAUGUUUGACCACAAGGGUUACUUAAAAGAAUUGUCUUUUUUUGGCACUUAAAAUUACAGCAUAAAACACAACGUGCUAUAGUUCCAAGUGAUAUGUGUUGUUAAGCUGGACAUGAUUGAUGUACAUGUAACUUAAGUCUAUGUUGUUUAUUUUAAAGCAACGUCUUUUGCAAUGGUUUGGUGUAACCUAAAAUCAUCUUUUAUUUAUGUUUAAGUGGAAUUUAUGUGCUUAAAGCAUUUGUUCAACUGUCCUGAGUGUGAUGUGUGAAAGUGGGACACUUUGUCUAAUAAAAUCAUCUGUGAAUUUAA